rnacentral:rRNA from 1 species
AGAACGAACGCUGGCGGCAUGCCUAAUACAUGCAAGUCGAACGAACUCUUCGGUGUUAGUGGCGCACGGGUGCGUAACGCGUGGGAAUCUGCCCUUGGGUUCGGAAUAACAGUUGGAAACGACUGCUAAUACCGGAUGAUAUCGAAAGAUCAAAGAUUUAUCGCCCAGGGAUGAGCCCGCGUAGGAUUAGCUAGUUGGUGAGGUAAAGGCUCACCAAGGCGACGAUCCUUAGCUGGUCUGAGAGGAUGAUCAGCCACACGUGGGACUGAGACACCGGCCCAGACCUCCGUACGGGAGGCAGCGAGUAGGGAAUAGUGGACAAUGGGCGACAAGCCUGACUCCGAG